rnacentral:rRNA from 1 species
CCUACGGGAGGCAGCAGUGGGGGAUAUUGCACAAUGGGGGAAACCCUGAUGCAGCGACGCCGCGUGUGGGAAGACGGUCCUCUGGAUUGUAAACCACUGUCCCCAGGGACGAAGAUGACGGUACCUGGGGAGGAAGCUCCGGCUAACUACGUGCCAGCAGCCGCGGUAAUACGUAGGGAGCGAGCGUUGUCCGGAAUUACUGGGUGUAAGGGGAGCGUAGGCGGGACUGCAAGUUGGGGGUAAAAUCUACCGGCUCAACCGGUAGCCGCACUCAAAACUGCAGUUCUUGAGUGAAGUAGAGGCAGGCGGAAUUCCUAGUGUAGCGGUGAAAUGCGUAGAUAUUAGGAGGAACACCAGUGGCGAAGGCGGCCUGCUGGGCUUUUACUGACGCUGAGGCUCGAAAGUGUGGGGAGCAAACAGGAUUAGAUACCCUGGUAGUC